rnacentral:rRNA from 1 species
UACGGGGGGAGCUAGCGUUGUUCGGAUAUACUGGGCGUAAAGCGCACGUAGGCGGCGCAGCAAGUCAGGGGUGAAAUCCCGGAGCUCAACUCCGGAACUGCCUUUGAAACUGCAGUGCUAGAAUCCUGGAGAGGCGAGUGGAAUUCCGAGUGUAGAGGUGAAAUUCGUAGAUAUUCGGAAGAACACCAGUGGCGAAGGCGACUCACUGGCCCGAUACUGACGCUGAGGCGCGAAAGCGUGGGGAGCAAACAGG